AAACGAGAGCAUUUCAUCAUCGCGCAUGCAGUUUCAUUUUCGGUUUCGUGCAAUUUUUCUCUUUUACUCCGCUGCAGAUCGUCAAGUUCUCCCCUCGCAGGGGAGUAUAACCGGAAAGCGAUACAGAAAAAGUCUUCUUUCUUUUCCUCGGACCUAAAGUUUGCGCAGUUUAUAAAGUUCGCUUAAUUUCAUUUAGCGGACGAAACUACAGGAAACUAAAGAAAUCCCCUGGAUAACGUAACUUUUCGUUAUGUUAUUUAGUUACCCUUAAUUAACAUUAUUGCAACACGAAAAAUUAAACAAACGACAUUUGCGAAAGGGUUGCAGAUUGCUUGUCGACCGAAAGGAAGUUUGCGUCCGUUAGUUUGAGCCCGGCUACCGAUAAAUGAUUUUCCGGCGGUACUGGUAACCGCAGGAAGGAAAGCCGCGUUGCGCGGAGACACGUGGCAAUUUCGGAACGACAACCGCACCAUUUUCGCCCCGCGACACCUGUACAAACGGAAGCAGCUUAUUCUCCGCGUAGAAGUUUGCGGUUACCGCGCGCGCGAGCCGCUAUUUGCUGGAGCAACACAAGUUGACGACUAUUUAAAGGGACAAAGAGCGGAAUCGGAUGCAUCGAGGAAGUGAAUUUUCGUAAUACCGGGCCUCUCGACGCUCGCAAAAUAUUAGUCGAGAUUGUUUUCAAACGAUUCCCGACCCUCUCACGAAGAAGACACUCGUCGCGCAAGAGUAAACACUCUAACGUCCCGCGAACAAACGUUCCGGAAACGACACAAGACAAAGGGCCGCGUUGUGCAAACAUUCUUGUCCGUUUUCUUCUUCGACUCAGAUGCUUUCUACUCGUACUUAAGUCAAAGAGAAGGAUAGACGUUUCCCGAAUGACGGUAGUGAAUCGGAAAAAAGCUUCUCUCUAGUUGUAUUAUUAACAACACGAAUAAUGCCGACAAACAAUAGCUUAAUACGAUUAAAAACACAAUGUAAGAAAAAUAAUUGUAUAAAUCAGAGCUUAUGUUAAUCGGGAAAUAAAACGAAUGAUUCAGAAUUAAA